UACGGAGGGUCCGAGCGUUAUCCGGAAUUAUUGGGUUUAAAGGGUCCGUAGGCGGGCCGAUAAGUCAGGGGUGAAAGUCUGCGGCUCAACCGUAGAACUGCCUUUGAUACUGUCGGUCUUGAGUUAUGGUGAAGUGGGCGGAAUAUGUAGUGUAGCGGUGAAAUGCAUAGAUAUUACAUAGAACACCGAUUGCGAAGGCAGCCCGCUAACCGUAUACUGACGCUGAUGGACGAAAGCGUGGGGAGCGAACAGG
rnacentral:rRNA from 1 species